UACGGAGGGGGCUAGCGUUGUUCGGAAUUACUGGGCGUAAAGCGCACGUAGGCGGCUUUGCAAGUUAGAGGUGAAAGCCCGGGGCUCAACUCCGGAAUUGCCUUUAAGACUGCAUCGCUAGAAUUGUGGAGAGGUAAGUGGAAUUCCGAGUGUAGAGGUGAAAUUCGUAGAUAUUCGGAAGAACACCAGUGGCGAAGGCGACUUACUGGACACAGUAUUGACGCUGAGGUGCGAAAGCGUGGGGAGCAAACAGGAUUAAGAAACCCUGAGUACGUACCGAGC
rnacentral:rRNA from 1 species